GGGCCGGGAUGAAGGCGGUUAGAUAACGAAAUAGCUUCUGGAGAUUUCUCUAAGUGAGGAUUACGGAAACUUAUUGAUGGGUGAUCGAAGUUUUCUCCCAUUCUCUUUUCAUUUCAAGCAAAGAUUAACAUUUUCCCUUAUAAGAAGCCUUAGUUUCUAGACAACGAUAAUUUUCACACCAUGAAAAACUUAAAGCCUUCUAACUCAGCUAUUUAAAUAUUACAAGAUUCUGUUCACUGGUAUCAUCUGCUUUCAGAUGAUUUUGCUAUAGUUAUUAUGUUUUAGAGAGCACUUUCUUAUGUUUUAGGAGAAGAUGGCCUCUAGUGCUAUUCAUUUCCGACGGUGCGGCAUCCCAAACCGUGGAAACAGAAGGCAGGCCAGCACGCGCUGGCCGUUGUCGCCCAUUCGCCGUCCAUUCUCAGGCUUCUUCCCGAGGGCGGAGCCGACCUGGCCUCUGGGCCUCGGCUCCGGAAAGGAGGGCCUCUGCAGCCCUAGGCAGAGUGGCUCACUCUGCGCUCCUUGAAAGCACUGCUUCCAUCCUGGGCUUUGGGGGACCCAGCGUCCCUGAACCUCCCC
rnacentral:lncRNA from 1 species